rnacentral:misc_RNA from 1 species
GUGUGUGUGUGUGUGUGUUGGGGGCGAAUUAUCUGUUAAGACAGAAAUUCGUGGGGCAGAUCAAGUUGAAAUUUCCCUAACAAAAUUGGAUAGUGCAGAUCAACAUUCAUGAGUUAUUGUUACUUUCUAUGAUUACUUUCUGCUUGUUAAUUUGAUGUAGGAAAAUACACCUACACGUACCAAGGAAAGGAAUCUGCAAGAUGGGCCUG